CGCGUAGGUGGCUUAUUAAGUUGAAUGUGAAAGCCCUGGGCUCAACCCUGGAAGUGCAUUCAAAACUGGUAAGCUUGAGUCCUGGAGAGGGUGGUGGAAUUCCCAGUGUAGAAGUGAAAUUCGUAGAUAUUGGGAGGAACACCAGUGGCGAAGGCGACCACCUGGACGGAGACUGACACUGAGGCGCGAAAGCGUGGGGAGCAAACA
rnacentral:rRNA from 1 species